rnacentral:rRNA from 1 species
CCUACGGGAGGCAGCAGUAGGGAAUCUUCCACAAUGGGCGAAAGCCUGAUGGAGCAACGCCGCGUGCAGGAUGAAGGCCUUCGGGUUGUAAACUGCUUUUAUAAGCGAGAAAUAUGAUGGUAACUUAUGAAUAAGGAUCGGCUAACUACGUGCCAGCAGCCGCGGUCAUACGUAGGAUCCGAGCAUUAUCCGGAGUGACUGGGUGUAAAGAGUUGCGUAGGUGGCAUAAUAAGUAGCUAGUGAAAUCUGGUGGCUCAACCAUUCAGACUAUUAGCUAAACUGUUAAGCUCGAGACCGUUAGGGGUAACUGGAAUUUCUAGUGUAGGAGUGAAAUCCGUAGAUAUUAGAAGGAACACCAAUAGCGUAGGCAGGUUGCUGGGACGGUUCUGACACUAAGGCACGAAAGCGUAGGGAGCAAACGGGAUUAGAUACCCCAGUAGUC